rnacentral:rRNA from 1 species
GACAGAGGUGCCGAGCGUUAGGCGGAAUCACUGGGCUUAAAGCGUGUGUAGGCGGGCGGGCAAGUACCUUGUGAAAUCCCACGGCUCAACCGUGGAACGGCUGGGUAUACUGCCUGUCUUGAGCCAACUAGGGGCGAGCGGAACAGACGGUGGAGCGGUGAAAUGCGUAGAUAUCGUCUGGAACGCCAAAGGUGAAAACAGCUCGCUGGGACGGUACUGACGCUGAGACGCGAAAGCGUGGGGAGCAAACAGG